GCCAAACAGAAACAGCUCCAGUCUGCAGCUCCCAGUAAGAUCGACACAGAAGGUGGUUGAUUUCUGCAUUUCCAACUAAGAUAAGAAAAUGCUGUGAGAUUUUGUGACAACCCGGCCUGCCUCACAAGAGCUCCUGAAACGGAGUUUUGCUCUUGUUACCCACUCUGGAGUGCAAUGGCACGAUCUCAGCUCACCACAACCUCCACCUCCUGCAUUCAGCUAAUUCUCCUGCCUCAGCCUCCUGAGUAGCUGGGACUACAGGCACGUGCCACCAGGCCCAGCUAAUUUUUUGUAUUUUUAGUAGAGACGGGGUUUCACCAUGUUGACCAGGAUGGUCUCGAUCUCUUGACCUCGUGAUCCACCCGCCUCGGCCUCCCAAAGUGCUGGGAUUACAGGCUUGAGCCACCGCGCCUGGCCCAACAGUCUUUUCUUUAAAAGAUAUUUCUAUGUGGGUUGGCAGCAUCAGAAAGGGGUUAGCUCAAGUGCCUGGGAUUGGGAGUUGGGGACACGAUGAACAGAGAGGUAUGGAGAAGGCCACAGCAGCUAACCCACGGUACAUGCAAGUCAGGUCAAGAGGAGCAGGCACUGUGGGGUAGACCAGACCAGCUGAACCUGGCCAAACAGAGAGUGUUGCAUCCACAGGUCUCUCAACUUACUCAAUAAAUCAGAGAAGGGAAUAUGGAAGCUGAGUCAUUAAUGGUCCAGUCCCAGGCAUAGGUCAGCUUCUAGGACACGG